UCUUUUUAUCUUAUUUAAAAAAAACAAUCAAAUUCCACCUCAGGUUUUUUAAUCUUAUUCUUCCUCUGCACUUAGCUCUUCCUCUGCUCUGGUUUGUAAAGCUUCGGAUGAGAACUGAUGUGCACCGAAAACAUUUUGUGGUUCAGCAAAAUGUCCGAAUUUCGAGUCGAAAUCAGAGACCCAGAAAGCAAAUCGACCUACCUGAAUCAGGUUUGGGAAGGGAACCUAGUCGUUAACCUACCGGACUGAAUAAAGCCCCAAGAAGAUUAAGAGGUUAAUGAAGAAAGAGCCAUCUUUUACAGACCAGCGAAUUGGCGUUAGGAUUCUAAGAAGGAUUUUGUAGGUUGAUUUGGUUUCCACCAUUCACAUCGCGGACAAAGAGUACUUUAAGACCCUUCAGGAGGAACUUGAGUCCUAUGCUAUGAUUGUGUCCUUUAUGAGAUGAGAUGGUAGCCAGCAGGGAGAGUUUAGAGAAUAGAAGAAAUUCAGUUUUAACAUUCUAGGAUGCAUUCAGCGACAAAUGGCUCGAAUUCUGACACUUGAUUUCCAAUUACAUUGUUUAGAUUACGAGGCUGAAAAUUGGUACCAUGCUGAUCUCGACUUUGAAACCUUCAAGUUACUUCAGAUGGAAAAAGGUGAAAGCUUUUUCUCCUUUGCAAGAGAUAUGACUCUUAAAUCCACAAAAGCUAUGAUUGAUAUUGUUAUUGCUAGAGCAAAAGGGGUCUGUGGCUAUUGCUAGAGCAAAAGGGGUUCCACAGCAUAAUCAAAAGAAUGCUAACCUUACCCCAUUUUCUCAUAAACGAGCUCCCUGAUGAGCCUGUCACUUGCUUCACGCUUCUCACCACACCCAAUAACCUUUUGGCCUCACUCGACCUCAACAUCACCAGCCUCAACGACUCCCAACUCAUACAAUGCCUCAUGUCCGCCAUGGCCUAUGAACUCCUGUUUGAAGAGGCAACAUAGCGUUGAGUACUGGAUGAUGGGUUCGCUUCUGAAAUGGCUGGCGCAUUUUUUUUUUGCCGUUCUUUUCAUCUUUGAGUUUUAAUACUCAUGGCCAUAACAUGACUGAUCCAAAAACUCGAGUUGAUCGUCAAUUGCAGGUAUUUCCAUGGCUGAAUUUGAUAGAAUGACUGAAUUUAGGCUAUAAUUUUAGGUAAUAUACAUUAACAAUCUUUGCCCAAUUCGAAUAUAUUUGUGUGAUAUUAGGAAUAGUUGUGGUUAUAUGUAGAAACAGGUACACACACUUGCAAUAAAGAGAUUGAAAGAAUAGGAUUAACAUUUUCAGUUGAUAUUUUGGGUGUUUUUAUUUUCAUGUAGCUUCUAAGAAAAUUGAGAAUUGAAUGAACUUUAAUUAGUAUAUUAUUAGUUCUGUUUCAGCUAUGUAGAGAUUCAUAUCAUUGAGAUUUUGAAUAUUAUGAAUUUAAGGUGAUAUUAAAUAUUUUUAGGCUUCAAAUUAGAUUAAAAAAAUUAUGAAAUUUGUGGCUUUUCUCUUGGUACACUAUGUUUGAUUUUAAAAGCUCUGACCAUCUAACUCUUAAAAUAGCAAGUCAAGUUUAAAUUUGUGCAAUAAAGUCUUCAUAGAUUCUUAAGUAGCUUUGCUUGUUUGAAUUUCAUUGUACCCUUUUGUUUGGGAAUAAUAAGACAUAAAGUUAUAAUAAAUUAUAUUAUGGGGUUAAAGUAGUCAGAGAUUUUAAUAAUAAUUUUCUUGUUGAGAGUGUACUUGUUAAAUGACACAUAAUGUUAGAUCAAGUUUUAUCUUUAAAGUGGUACAGGAAGAUAUUAAUUCUUGUCAUUGUCUUAAUUUAUUUGAUUUUCGAUUUUUUCUCAACUUAUGGGGUUACUGAGUUGUCAUUGCUAGCUAAAAAUUUUAGUCAUAUUGACACACCAUUCUUUAGUAGUAGAGAGGUUUAUCCUCCAUGGCACUAUAUCCUUAGCAUGUUCAUUAAGUGUAAUGGUAUACUUUUUUCUUCGAGAAAUAGACAAUGUCUAGGAGUAUCGAAUGGCUACUUUAGUGUUUUAGUGGCCUGUAAUGUUUUCUGAUGUGUGAUUUAAGUCAAUGCAAAACCAGUGAGAAUCAUUUAAAUGUGUAACCAAUCGUGGAUUCAUCUCUUUCAUCCCAAUGUGGAAGUAGUGUAGCAACAGGAACUAGAGCUAGGCUUUUUGGAACACAUAUUUCAGGUGGUGUGCUACGUGCUGCUUCAGCUCAUGGUUUGCCUCCCUUGGCCUUAGUCGUUUGUAUUCUUAUGAAGCAGGACAGGUUUGCUUAUUUAUGCACCAUAAUGUCUUGAAUGCACCAUCGGCAUGAAGGAUUGGUUCGCUCGUAGAUUUUGCACCUGAUCCUGCACUUCUCACGCAGAGUCACGGCAAGAUUUAAAAUAUGAGAGUGAUUCUGAAUACAUAUGUCGGGCUCCUGUACCUGGCAUAACUUUGGAGAAAAAGGGAAAUGCGGCUGAAAAGGAAAAGGACAAAGAGAUGAUGUAGUUUUUUGUUGAUUUAGAACAUGUAAUGUGAAAAAUGAAUAUUUUUGCAGACCGAUCGAUCAAAAAUACAAAAAACUAAUUGAAAAAAAAAGGCAGUAAUGAUUUUUUA